rnacentral:lncRNA from 1 species
UUACUUCAAUACCCCAAUUUUACAUUGAUAAGCAGUAUACAAAAAAAAGUAAUGAUUGAUUUAUAACAAACUAUAAUGGAUUUGUGCACAGCUAUAAGGAUAUUUGUCAGCAAUUAUUACUUCUCCUGUGAAGACACAUUUUCUAUUAUUAUAACUGUCUUCAUUAUCUGUUUAUACACCAGCCUCCACUUAUUGGUGCCCACAGCAGGAGUUAUAGUUGUUAAAAAACUACAUACUACGACCUAUUACAUGUUUACAUACUGCUUAUAAAUGCAAAGUAGUGGUACAUAAAAUAAAGUUGCCAUAAAGCUUAAUACGAGGGAUUCAUAAAAUAUUCUGGCUUGCUAUUACUAAAUGAAAGUAUAAUAUCCUUUUCUCCGUGACAGCGAAGAGCAAGGAACAUACAACGUACCCGCCACUACCCAUAGUGACGGGUAAACAAGCUACUGCGUCUCCCACAGACAACUUCCCGGUCAUCGCCGGGUGGAUAUGGAUCGUGUUGGGGGUAUCUGCUUUCAUCCUGAUUGUCCUGCUGGUCACAUGUGUCUUGCUGAGAAGAAGAUGUCGCAGAAGCAGAGGAGAAGAACCUAUCUAUGUAAACUCUCGUCAUGUGGCCAGCAAACAGUCUUCACCUCGGCCAGGGUUGCCCGGGGACAACCUGAAAAUGGUUUCUUCCUCCCAAAACCUCCACAACCCGAGUCCAGGCCAGGGAUACCACAAAGACAAGCGGAGAUUCAAACAGUGAGGAAGUCAUGGACCUCAUAAAUCGACUCAUCAUAUCUUUAAAAAGAAAAGAUAUUAUGUGCCACUAGAUGGCAGAAGGUGGAUACUGUCAAUGGGUAAAUUCAAAAUGUUCUUUUUUUAUUUUAUUUGUUCUAUUUCAGCCUUUCUAUAGUAAAUAAGCACAACGUGGAUUUUUUGUAUGAAUUAUAGAGAUUGGGAGUGACAUGUUGAUGUUUUUAUCAGCUUUGUGCUUAUUGUUAGAGUUUAUAUUAAAAUGGUAAGAUGCAGGUUUUGUAAUAUCUUGAAUGUUAGUAUAUGAUAUUGAUAGGUAUCCUAUUCUGUCAUAUUAUCAUUUUAAUUUUGCAUUUUUAAUACACAUCAAUAAUAAAUAAAUAAGUCAAAAUCAAGGGAACAUUAAUAUUAUUUUUCAGAUCCAACUGAUUUCCUUUUGUAUUAUUAUUUUAAACUUUGAAUGUAUUGUUGGUGCAAGCUUUUCCUUUAAACUUGAAAUGUGUAUGUUAUUGUAUGUAUUUCUUCUCAGGUAUUUCCUGUAAAAUAGAUAUUAUAAGCCACUAGAUGGCAGAAGGUAAUUGCUUUCUGCUUUUGUCAAUGGGUAAAUAAUGUUUGUUUUAUUUCCACUGGUAAUAUUUGAAUAUGUUGCCAACAGUAGCUUUAGUAUGAUAA